CCCUAGGACAAGGUGUGGUGGUAACUGGAAAGAGAUCUGUGUCGGAGAUUUGUUAAAAGGUUGAGGAGAGAGAGAGAGAGAGAGAGAGAGAGGAUGAGUGGGGAAGAUGCGGCGAAGACGGCAAAAUAGCGGGUGGGUGGGACAUGAAGGACUGUCCGGUUCCAGAGGGUAUUGAUGCUCAUCGUGUUCGUCUCCGAGCGCAUAGAAGGUGGGUUCAGACAACUAGGCUACUCUGGUCCUGUCUCCAUCAGAGCCUAUGGAGACCACAAACAAACCCCUGACCACCAGCUACAAGCUCUCUCUUCCACUGGAGUCGCGGUGGUACAUAUCAGAUCUGAAAGCACGUGCGCAGUCAUGUAUAUGGAUAUGGUGAAAUGGCGAGAGGAUAAUCCUCUCCGGCUACAAUGAUGAUGAUAACCAAUCAGAUGCUAGAUGUUUUCCAUUGGGAUCUGGCCCGGCUUCAACAACGCACGACUUACAACCUUUUUCUGGCUUAUUCAGUCCAACCUCGCGCAGUAUUGUACGUUCCACUCGUAAAGAGUGGCUCUGGGAAAAAUUACUACUUGGGACGACUGCGGCCGUGACAAGCAGCAGCGCAGACACGGCGGAUGAUGCCGUGUUUCACUGCAAAACGUGCUCUUUGGAUUGCCUAAGCCUUAAGAGUUUCAAGGAGCAUCUCUCCACUAAAAAACAUGCACUAGAAGAGGUUUUACACCCUACGCCUACACAAAUCAUAUCUGUAACGAGCAAGUGGGGAAAGAACUAUGCUGCUACGCCUGAAUAUGCGACAGCUAAAUCCAUGUGUGUUGGAACAUGUCUGAAUGUCCUAUUCCCGACGGUUACGAUGCUCGUCGG